UCACUUUACACUGAGGCGUGAUGACGAGGCACCACGGUGCUGAAGCAACAAAUGCCCUGCUUCCAGGAAAAGCCUCUAAGCAUCAGGUAACACAGAAUCGUACCCCAAACCGACACAGGUGGUCAGGUAGAGAAUACCAAGGCGCUUGAGAGAACCCGGGUGAAGGAACUAGGCAAAAUGGUGCCGUAACUUCGGGAGAAGGCACGCUGGUGUGUAGGUGAAGUCACUUGCUGACGGAGCUGAAGCCAGUCGAAGAUACCAGCUGGCUGCAACUGUUUAUUAAAAACACAGCACUGUGCAAACACGAAAGUGGACGUAUACGGUGUGACGCCUGCCCGGUGCCGGAAGGUUAAUUGAUGAGGUUAUCCGUAAGGAGAAGCUUUUGAUCGAAGCCCCGGUAAACGGCGGCCGUAACUAUAACGGUCCUAAGGUAGCGAAAUUCCUUGUCGGGUAAGUUCCGACCUGCACGAAUGGCGUAAUGAUGGCCAGGCUGUCUCCACCCGGGACUCAGUGAAAUUGAACUCGCUGUGAAGAUGCAGUGUACCCGCGGCAAGACGGAAAGACCCCGUGAACCUUUACUACAGCUUGACACUGAACACUGAGCCUUGAUGUGCAGGAUAGGUGGGAGGCUUUGAAGCGUGGACGCCAGUCUGCGCGGAGCCAUCCUUGAAAUACCACCCUUUAAUGUUUGGUGUUCUAACCUUGCGCCGUUAUCCGGCGCGGGGACAGUGUCUGGUGGGUAGUUUGACUGGGGCGGUCUCCUCCCAAAGCGUAACGGAGGAGCACGAAGAUUGGCUAAUCACGGUCGGACAUCGUGAGGUUAGUGCAAAGGCAUAAGCCAGUUUGACUGCGAGAGUGACGGCUCGAGCAGGUGCGAAAGCAGGUCUUAGUGAUCCGGUGGUUCUGAAUGGAAGGGCCAUCGCUCAACGGAUAAAAGGUACUCCGGGGAUAACAGGCUGAUACCGCCCAAGAGUUCAUAUCGACGGCGGUGUUUGGCACCUCGAUGUCGGCUCAUCACAUCCUGGGGCUGUAGCAGGUCCCAAGGGUACGGCUGUUCGCCGUUUAAAGUGGUACGCGAGCUGGGUUUAGAACGUCGUGAGACAGUUCGGUCCCUAUCUGCCGUGGGCGCUGGAGAAUUGAGAGGGUUUGCUCCCAGUACGAGAGGACCGGAGUGAACGCACCACUGGUGUACGGGUUGUCAUGCCAAUGGCACUGCCCGGUAGCUAAGUGCGGAACGGAUAAGCGCUGAAAGCAUCUAAGCGCGAAACCAGCCUCGAGAUGAGUUCUCCCUGAGUCCUAGCGACUCCUGAAGGGACGUUGAAGACGACGACGUUGAUAGGCCGGAUGUGUAAGCGCAGCGAUGCGUUGAGCUGACCGGUACUAAUGACCCGAGAGGCUUAACC
rnacentral:rRNA from 1 species